CCCAGCCAACUACUACAAUUUUACUAUUUAAUUACAUUAAAUAAUAACACUUUCAAAAAAGCUUGAUAAAUGUUACGGACUUACUAAAAUUAAAACAAAAAUAUAAAAACAAUUUCUAAUUUCAAAGUCAGAGAAACCCCAAUUUUCUUCUUCUCUCCAUCGCGCUCUUCGAUAUUCAUCUUCUCCUCAUCGCUCUCUUCGAUAUCCAUCGUUCUCUUCAAUUUCUCGUCAUCACAAUCAAUCUCAAGCUCUGUUCAGCAUGCAGAUCAGAUAAAUCAAAUUCAGAUAAACAAGUUGGCUUGCCGUGAGUUGAGCUUGGAAUAGUUUGAAAGUUCUAAGGAUGGGAGCUAACAUUGUCAUGAAGAAUAUUAAAAGUGUGGAGGUUGACUCUUCAUCUGGGGAUUCAGAUAACAACAAGGUUGUUGGCUCCCGAAAAAGGCAAAGGUCCGAAUCAAGUGGGGGUGCCUCUUGCUCCAACUACAAGGCAUGCCGAGAAAAAUUGCGCAGGGACAGACUAAAUGAGAGGUUCCUAAAAUUGGUUGCUGUGAUAGAGACCGACUACUGGUACAUCAAGAGAGCUUAUUGUGAUGCCUAGUACGCAUGCCCGUAGCAGGUCCACACUGGUCUUUUUGUUCAUCCACGGUGAGCCACUGUUUGUUGACAAACAUUAUCAGGAUAAGGCACUUUCAGACUUGAUCAUUGUUGCCCAACUACUGGCAAAGCUCUUUUGAUGUUCUGCCCACUGAAUGGAGUGAUUAGUUUGAGUCAGGGAUUCAAACUAUAGCUGUGAUUCAAGCUGGUCAUGGUCUUCUGCAGUUGGGCUCCUGCAAGAUUGUAAAAAGAUUCUGUCCCAGAGAGCUGCAAUAUUUUAGAUAGGCAAAAUUGUUAGAAGAUGAACAACAUGGUAAGCCAAAAUGAAUUAUUCAUAUAUUUGCACCAAUUUGUUCUGCUAUUAAAUAAUGUGUAAGUUACAAUUAUUACAGGGCAAUGGGUAGAGCUUAUUCUGAAAUUCUACAAUAUUUCUUAUACUAUUUUCUCUCAUUUCAUAUAAUUAAAAGUACUCAUAUUUUUUCUUUUUUCUUUUGUAACAAGGUUGCAGGAAACAUGAUAUUAGUUUCAAUCAUGAAAACUGGUCACAUUACUAUGAAAGAUACAUAUUCAUUGCAUUGCUUCUUGUAGUUAGCUUUAGGAGUUUCUUUGCCUUUCAUUCCUGCUAUUGGUUGGAUAAUAGAAUUGAAUGGAAAAAAUCUCAUCAAUUUGCUUGAUUGAAUUUUUAGCUCUUUUCUUCUAUCCUUCCAGGUGCACUAAUUACCUAACAUUACAGAAUAAAUUAUUCUUGUACUGUUUUCCUGAUGAGCUUAUAUUUAAAUUUACAUUAAAAAAUUGUUAUUAUUAAAAAAUUAUAACAAUAUAAAAUGUAAUAUUUUCUUAUAUAUAACAUAAUAAUAAUGUAAUUAAAACAUAGGGAAAUUUGCGGCAUUAAUCCCUAAGUAGUUCAAUUUGUUGCGAAAAGAUACUUAUGUAAUUUUUUUUACGGCAAUAAUGUCUGCCGUUAUGGUUUUAGUGCAUUAGUUGGUCCCUUAUUCGUUAAGUGCUAAUUUUAUAUCUAUUAUGACAUGUGGCAAUUAUAGAUUGGUUUAAACAUUAUUAUUUUUUUCAAAUAAAAAUAAAAAACCAAUUUUUACUUUUUUUCCAAAUAUAAUGAAAUCUUUUUUUUUUAAUAAUGGAGACAUUUAGACGGUAUAACUUAAUAAAAUUUACAAUUAAAUUAAAACAUAUUAAACCUUAAUAAAGGAAACUUAAAACUAAAAUCUCCAAAUUUCUUAUCUUAUCAUCUUCAUACCCAACCAUGAAUAACAACCAGAAAACCUAAAUCUCCAAAUCUCCAAAUUUCUCAUCAUCGUGCGAUUUAUGCCCAAUUGUCCCAUCCUAGGUUCUCCAUCGCCGACCAUGAAAAACCAGCAGAAGACAUGAAGAGACGAAAAACCGAUCACACCCUUGUUCUUCCUUUCAACCAAUCGACCCACCAUUGCCGUCCACCAUCGCCGUUCAGAUGUCGGAGCUGCGAAGACAUGGAAACAGACCAUCAUCUCAUCUCCAAAUUAAUCAUUCGCUCUCUCUAUUACUCUCAUAGGUAAGUGGCAUUCUCAAAUAUCUAUUAAUUUCUAAUUUUUGCAAUUUUACAAAAAUAUCAAUAACAUCUUGAAGGUUGGUAAGCAUUAUGUGAUAAUUUUAAAUUUAUGUUAGCAGAUUGAUUGGAAAAAAAAGUUUGUAUCGUUCUUGGUUGUUGGUUAUAUGUUUUGGAAGGUUGUAAGUGAUGAUUGGAAAUAGGUUAGGUGAAAGCAUCCUUUCACUUAAAAAUGGAGAGGAAUAUUAUAACCUGAUUUUUCUUGACAGUGGAGGGACCCCAUGGAAAGGGGAAGAACUUGCUUUUGUAGCCACAAACUCCAUUGGUGCAGAGAACAUCUUGGACCAACAUAAUCCUAAGCUAAGAUUCAUUACAUGCUUCAAGUUUCGGGUGUAUGAGUUGGUGUUGAAUUGCUUUUUAUUAUUUCUUUAGUUAUUGGUAUUUAUUAGAUUUUUGGGUUAAUGAGUUAAAUCUCGUAAAUAUAGUGGGUGUAGCUUUUUGAAUGGGUCGAUCUCGAUAUGUACCCACGUUCAAUGGUGGUGAUUCCUGGACUCCUUAGAAAAUUGGUCAACUAGAGAUUGAAUUUAAAUCUUUAAGCAUGGCAAAAGGUCCUGGCUGUCAUGGACAAUGCUGUGGUUCUUCUAAUUGUUUUUAAGCACAAUCACAUUACCUUCAAGAAAUUUAAAGCGAAAGCAGUCAAAGUUAAGGUGAAAAGGUUAGAGUAAAUAAUGAAGAUGGUCAUGUGUUCAAUUUUUUUUUUUUUGAAUAAUUGGUACUGGGUUGUAAUUCUUGCGUUGGUAUUAGUUUGUGCAAUGAAUUCAAAGUAGAUGGUUUGUGCAAUUUAUCGAUUUGUAAUAUAUUUUAGCUUCCAUGAAUUUUUUUAUAAAAUGGGUAAUAAAUAAACAAAAGAUUGUGAUGAACUUAGUUAGCC